UACAGAGGGUGCGAGCGUUAAUCGGAAUUACUGGGCGUAAAGGGCGCGUAGGCGGGCUGAUAAGUCAGAUGUGAAAGUCCUGGGCUUAACCUGGGGAUUGCAUUUGAAACUGUUGGUCUGGAGUGAAGUAGAGGGUGGCGGAAUUUCCGGUGUAGCGGUGAAAUGCGUAGAUAUCGGAAGGAACACCAGUGGCGAAGGCGGCCACCUGGACUUUAACUGACGCUGAGGCGCGAAAGCGUGGGGAGCGAACAGG
rnacentral:rRNA from 1 species